rnacentral:rRNA from 1 species
UGGGGAAUUUUGGACAAUGGGCGAAAGCCUGAUCCAGCAAUGCCGCGUGUGUGAAGAAGGCCUUCGGGUUGUAAAGCACUUUUGUCCGGAAAGAAAUCCUUGGCUCUAAUACAGUCGGGGGAUGACGGUACCGGAAGAAUAAGCACCGGCUAACUACGUGCCAGCAGCCGCGGUAAUACGUAGGGUGCAAGCGUUAAUCGGAAUUACUGGGCGUAAAGCGUGCGCAGGCGGUUUGCUAAGACCGAUGUGAAAUCCCCGGGCUCAACCUGGGAACUGCAUUGGUGACUGGCAGGCUAGAGUAUGGCAGGAGGGGGGUAGAAUUCCACGUGUAGCAGUGAAAUGCGUAGAGAUGUGGAGGAAUACCGAUGGCGAAGGCAGCCCCCUGGGCCAAUACUGACGCUCAUGCACGAAAGCGUGGGGAGCAAACAGGAUUAGAUACCCUGGUAGUCCACGCCCUAAACGAUGUCAACUAGUUGUUGGGGAUUCAUUUCCUUAGUAACGUAGCUAACGCGUGAAGUUGACCGCCUGGGGAGUACGGUCGCAAGAUUAAAAC